GGAUAACCAACCACUUUGUAGCAAAACUCUUGAAGCGAGGUAGAGUUAAAAAAAGGGUACGACCUAGACUUUGGUAUUAAGCCUCCUACAUAUCUUUGGUUAUACGAGAAUCAGGUCUUGUGUAGUUCUAUAUUCAUGAGCAAAUGAAACUCUUAAAAUUUCAAAGAGUGUUAAGGUAUUCGAAGGGCACGAUAUCCACUUGAAUGGAUAAGAUUAGAGUAGCGAGAAGAGAGAGAUUUAGAGGCUAAAAGAGAAUGACAGAGAUGCGAAAAGAGCAUGAUAGAGUGAGGUUAUCAGCCUUUGAGUAAGGUUCAGAGUAUGAAUAGCAAAGAAUUGAUAGGGUCUUCUUUGUGAU
rnacentral:misc_RNA from 1 species